rnacentral:lncRNA from 1 species
AUUGUUCCGCCGGUCGCGCCGGAGCUGGGUUGCUCCUGCUCCCGUCUCCAAGUCCUGGUACCUCCUUCAAGCUGGGAGAGGGCUCUAGUCCCUGGUUCUGAACACUCUGGGGUUCUCGGGUGCAGGCCGCCAUGAGCAAACGGAAGGCGCCGCAGGAGACUCUCAACGGGGGAAUCACCGACAUGCUCACAGAACUCGCAAACUUUGAGAAGAACGUGAGCCAAGCUAUCCACAAGUACAAUGCUUACAGGUGGGACAGUGCAGCAUUCUCGGGUAGCAUACGUUCUGGGAUACCCUGUUUAGUGUGGCAAUUAACAGGACUGAGGGCCCAGUGGAUAUUUGGUCCAUCUGCAAGAGCGGGAAAAAGCAAGAAUCGAGGCUGGUACCUUACUAUUUCUUGAAGAAUGUGGGCAGUGCGUUAUAGGAUCAGUUCAGAUAAGUUCCCAAUUCUGAUUGCAGAUAGCUGUAGCCUGAUACGUAUUUUGUCAUCAUCAAACAUGAAUUACUAGAAAUGCGGUGUAAUUUUAACCGUAAUGAAAGACAGCGGAUGAAGUCCAUACU